UACAGGGGGUGCAAACGUUGCUCGGAAUUAUUGGGCGUAAAGCGCACGUAGGCGGUUUGUUAUGUCGGAUGUGAAAGCCCUUGGCUCAACUGAGGAAGUGCAUCCGGAACUGGCAAGCUAGAGUAUGUAAGAGGGUCGCGGAAUUCCCGGUGUAGAGGUGAAAUUCGUAGAUAUCGGGAGGAACACCGGUGGCGAAGGCGGCGACCUGGGACAAUACUGACACUGAGGAGCGAAAGCCAGGGGAGCAAACGGG
rnacentral:rRNA from 1 species